AGUGAACGCUGGCGGUAGGCCUAACACAUGCAAGUCGAACGGCAGCACAGUAAGAGCUUGCUCUUACGGGUGGCGAGUGGCGGACGGGUGAGGAAUACAUCGGAAUCUACUUUUUCGUGGGGGAUAACGUAGGGAAACUUACGCUAAUACCGCAUACGACCUACGGGUGAAAGCAGGGGAUCUUCGGACCUUGCGCGAUUGAAUGAGCCGAUGUCGGAUUAGCUAGUUGGCGGGGUAAAGGCCCACCAAGGCGACGAUCCGUAGCUGGUCUGAGAGGAUGAUCGGCCACACUGGAACUGAGACACGGUCCAGACUCCUACGGGAGGCAGCAGUGGGGAAUAUUGGACAAUGGGGGCAAGCCUGAUCCAGCCAUACCGCGUGGGUGGAGAAGGCCUUCGGGUUGUAAAGCCCUUUUGUUGGGAAAGAAAAGCAGCAGGUUAAUACCCCGCUGUUCUGACGGUACCCAAAGAAUAAGCACCGGCUAACUUCGUG
rnacentral:rRNA from 1 species